rnacentral:rRNA from 1 species
UGACUAUACAAAGGUAUUGUAAUAAGAUUUUAAUUGAAUGCUAAAAGAAUGGAAAUUUAAAAAAAAACUUUUUUAAAAAUAAAAAUUGAAUUUUUUUUAAUUUGUGCAAAAACAAUUAUAUUUAUUAAAGACAAGAAGACCCUAAGAAUUUAAGAUUUUACAAUUAAAAAGUUUUUUUUUUAAAAUCUUGAUUGGGGCGAUCAAAAAAUAUUAAUAACUUUUUAAAAUUUAAAUUGAUCUAUUAUUAAUAAACUAAUGAAUUAAAUACUCUAGGGAUAACAGCGUAAUAAUUUUUGAUAGAUCUUAUUGACAAAAUAGUUUGCGACCUCGAUGUUGGAUUAGGAUUCUUUUUUAAUGAAGAAGUUAAAAAAAGAAGUUUGUUCAACUUUUAAAUUCCUACUUGAUCUGA